UGCCAAGUCCGAACGUGAACGACUUCGGUCGGGAAAGUGGCGCAUGGGUGAGUAACACGUAGCUUAUCUGCCCCAAAGAGGGGGAUAACGGAUCGAAAGGUCUGCUAAUACCCCAUAAGCUCACGACGGAUAGCCCUGUUGUGAGAAAAGCUCCGACGCUUUGGGAGGAGGCUGCGGCCCAUCAGCUAGUUGGCGAGGUAACGGCUCACCAAGGCAACGACGGGUAGGGGGCCUGAGAGGGUGAUCCCCCACACUGGAACUGAGACACGGUCCAGACUCCUACGGGAGGCAGCAGUGAGGAAUAUUGCUCAAUGGGCGCAAGCCUGAAGCAGCGACGCCGCGUGGGCGAUGAAGGUCUUCGGAUCGUAAAGCCCUUUUCACCGGGACGAGCAAGGACGGUACCGGUGGAAUAAGUGUCGGCUAACUACGUGCCAGCAGCCGCGGUAAAACGUAGGACGCAAGCGUUAUCCGGAAUUACUGGGCGUAAAGCGCGUGUAGGCGGGUGUUUAAGUCACUGUUGAAAGCUCCUGGCUAAACUGGGAGAGGUGCGGUGAUACUGGACAUCUUGAGGGGGUCAGAGGGAUGCAGAAUUCCGGGUGUAGUGGUGAAAUGCGUAGAGAUCCGGAGGAAUACCAGAGGCGAAGGCGGCAUCCUGGGACUUCACUGACGCUGAGACGCGAAAGCAUGGGGAGCGAACGGGAUUAGAGACCCCGGUAGUCCAGGCCUUAAACGAUGAAUGCUUGGUGUCUCGGGUUACAUAGUCCCGGGGUGCCGUCGCUAACGCUUUUAGCAUUCCGCCUGGGGAGUACGGUCGCAAGACUGAGACUCAAAGGAAUUGACGGGGACCCGCACAAGCGGUGGAGCAUGUGGUUUAAUUCGACGCAACGCGAAGAACCUUACCUGGGCUAGAAUGCCUCUGACAACCCUAGAGAUAGGGCC
rnacentral:rRNA from 1 species